rnacentral:rRNA from 1 species
AACGAACGCUGGCGGCGUGCUUAACACAUGCAAGUCGAACGGAGUGGCGAACGGGUGAGUAACACGUGGGUGACCUGCCCUGCACUUCGGGAUAAGCAUGGGAAACUGGGGCUAAUACCGGAUAGUGUGGGAUGGGCCCGCGGCCUAUCAGCUUGUUGGUGGGGUAAUGGCCUACCAAGGCGGCGACUGGUAGCCGGCCUGGGAGGGUGGACGGCCACAUUGGGACUGAGACACGGCGCAGAGUCGUACGGGAGGCAGCAGUGGCGAAGAUUGUGCAAUGGGCGGAAGCCUGAUGCAGCGACGCCGCGUGGGGGAUGACGGCUUUCGGGUUGUAAACUCCUUUCACCAUCGACGCGGUAGAUGGAGAAGAAGCACUGGCUAACUACGUGCCAGCAGCCGCGGUAAUAC